rnacentral:tRNA from 1 species
AGGGACUUAGGUUAGCACCAGACCAAGGGCCUUCAAAGCCCUAAGCGGGGGUGAGAAUCCCCCAGACCCUG